rnacentral:rRNA from 1 species
GACGUAGGGGGCGAGCGUUGUCCGGAUUUAUUGGGCGUAAAGCGUGCGUAGGCGGCUGCGCAAGUCGGGUGUGAAACCCCGGGGCUCAACCCCGGAACUGCAUCCGAUACUGCGUGGCUAGAGGUAGGUAGGGGAGAUCGGAAUUCCUGGUGUAGCGGUGAAAUGCGCAGAUAUCAGGAAGAACACCAAUGGCGAAGGCAGCUCUCUGGGACGGUACUGACGCUGAGACGCGAAAGCGUGGGGAGCGAACAGG